rnacentral:rRNA from 1 species
AACGCGAAGAACCUUACCUGGGUUAAAUCCACCGGAACCCGGCAGAGAUGUCGGGGUGCCCUUCGGGGAACCGGUGAGAAGGUGCUGCAUGGCUGUCGUCAGCUCGUGUCGUGAGAUGUUGGGUUAAGUCCCGCAACGAGCGCAACCCUUGUCGUCAGUUGCAAACGGGUUAUGCCGUGCACUCUGGCGAGACUGCCGACGUUAAGUCGGAGGAAGGUGGGGAUGACGUCAAGUCCUCAUGGCCCUUAUGCCCAGGGCUACACACGUGCUACAAUGGCCGGUACAAAGGGUCGCGAAGCCGCGAGGCCAAGCCAAUCCCAAAAAACCGGUCUCAGUUCGGAUAGGAGUCUGCAACUCGACUCCUUGAAGUCGGAAUCGCUAGUAAUCGCGGAUCAGCACGCCGCGGUGAAUACGUUCCCGGGCCUUGUACACACCGUAGUAC